UUACUUACCUGGCAGGGAAGAUACCCUUUUUCUUGACCUUGAAUGCCUUGGUGUAGUUAGAGGGUGAAGGCCUGUUCCUUGCACUACAGGCAGUGUACACAUGCCUCCAAAUGGGAGGAUCUUGGCUACACAAUUUAUGGUAAUAGGGGGUUGCUCUUGGGCUUUCCCUUU